CGAUUAUGGCUCAGAUUGAACGCUGGCGGAUGGCACAUGCAAGUCGAACGGCAGCACGGACUUCGGUCUGGUGGCGAGUGGCGAACGGGUGAGUAAUGUAUCGGAACGUGCCUAGUAGCGGGGGAUAACUACGCGAAAGCGCUAGCUAAUACGCCCUUCGGGGAAAGCGGGGGACCUUCGGGCCACUCGCACUAUUAGAGCGGCCGAUAUCGGAUUAGCUUCUAGUUGGUGGGGUAACGGCUCACCAAGGCGACGAUCCGUAGCUGGUUUGAGAGGACGACCAGCCACACUGGGACUGAGACGUGAACUCCUACGGAGGCAGCAGUGGGGAAUUUUGGACAAUGGGGGAAACCUGAUCCAGCCAUCCCGCGUGUGCGAUGAAGGCCUUCCGGGUUGUAAAGCACUUUUGGCAGGGAAAGAAACGGCACGGGAUAAUACCCCGUGCAACUGACGAACACCUGCAGAAUAAGCACCGGCUAACUACGUGCCAGCAGCCGCCUUGACGAUGGCCAUUAAGUGCAAGCGUUAAUCAGAUUACUGGGCGUAAAGCGUGCGCAGGCGGUUCGGAAAGAAAGAUGUGAAAUCCCAGAGCUUAACUUUGAACUGCAUUUUAACUGCGAGCUAGAGUGUGUCAGGGAGGUGGAAUUCCGCGUGUAGCAGUGAAAAUGCGUAGAUAUGCGGAGGAACACCGAUGGCGAAAACAGCCUCCUGGGAUAACGCAGCGCUCAUGCACGGCAUUAAGGGGAGCAAACAGGAUUAGAAUACCCUGGUAGUCCACGCCCUAAACGAUGUCAACUAGCUGUUGGGGCCUUCGGAGCCUUGGUAGCGCAACUAACGCGUGAGAUUGACCGCCUGGGAAGUACGGUCGCAAAGAUUAAAACUCAAAGGAAUUGACGGGGACCCGCACAAGCGGUGGAUGAUGUAGUUAAUUCGAUGCAGCACUUGAAAAACCUUACCUACCCUUGACAUGUCUGGAAUCGAGAUUUGGGAGUGCUCGCAAAGAGAACCGGAACACAGGUGCUGCAUGGCUGUCGUCAGCUCGUGUCGUGAGAUGUUGGGUUAAGUCCCGCAACGAGCGCAACCCUUGUCGUGGGUUGCACAGGCACUCCUAAUGAGACUGCCGGUGACAAACCGGAGGAAGGUGGGGAUGACGUCAAGUCCUCAUGGCCCUUAUGGGUAGGGCACGUCAUACAAUGGUCGGGACAGAGGUCGCCAACCCGCGAGGGGAACCCAAUCCCAGAAACCCGAUCGUAGUCCGGAUCGCAGUCUGCAACUCGACUGCGUGAAGUCGGAAUCCGCUGUGUCGCGGAUCAGCAUGUCGCGGUGAAUACGUUCCCGGGUCUUGUACACGCCCGUCACGCAGCGGGAGUGGGUUUUACCAGAAGUAAGUUAGCUAACCGUAAGGAGGGCGAUUACACGGUAGGAUUUCAUGACUGGGGUGAAGUCGUAACAAGGUA
rnacentral:rRNA from 1 species